rnacentral:rRNA from 2 species
GUCGAGCGGACUUAAAAAGCUUGCUUUUUAAGUUAGCGGCGGACGGGUGAGUAACACGUGGGCAACCUGCCUGUAAGACUGGGAUAACUUCGGGAAACCGGAGCUAAUACCGGAUAAUCCUUUCCUACUCAUGUAGGAAAGCUGAAAGACGGUUUACGCUGUCACUUACAGAUGGGCCCGCGGCGCAUUAGCUAGUUGGUGAGGUAACGGCUCACCAAGGCGACGAUGCGUAGCCGACCUGAGAGGGUGAUCGGCCACACUGGGACUGAGACACGGCCCAGACUCCUACGGGAGGCAGCAGUAGGGAAUCUUCCGCAAUGGACGAAAGUCUGACGGAGCAACGCCGCGUGAGUGAUGAAGGUUUUCGGAUCGUAAAACUCUGUUGUUAGGGAAGAACAAGUACGAGAGUAACUGCUCGUACCUUGACGGUACCUAACCAGAAAGCCACGGCUAACUACGUGCCAGCAGCCGCGGUAAUACGUAGGUGGCAAGCGUUGUCCGGAAUUAUUGGGCGUAAAGCGCGCGCAGGCGGUCCUUUAAGUCUGAUGUGAAAGCCCACGGCUCAACCGUGGAGGGUCAUUGGAAACUGGGGGACUUGAGUGCAGAAGA